UGUAUGGCGACGUUUAGUGCUGGAUUUAGCUGUGAUAGACGGUAGUCAUAACACAAAUAUUGCGGCUGAUUUAUUGCUUUAUUAGUCCAUUGAAUCGGUUGGACCGUCCGAAUCACAAACGUUGAUUAUUGAUGAGCAUCGCGUGCUCCACUCCAUUGUGAACAAACAAAAAUAACUUGGUUAUGUCAAACUCGUGGUCUGUCGUGUGCCACCCCAAUCGAAUGUAGCACUCAGUUAGUCGAGCAGACUUCAUGGGAGGAAUGUUAUACUAAUUUGAAUGUGCUCUAAUAUAAAUAAAUUGGCCCAUUAAAGCGAACAGUCGUCAAAUAGCAGCAGUAUGGAAGGUAGCAGUUGAUAAUUAUUCGGCUAGUGCACGUAUAGGAAGCAAUAAAACAGCAGGUAUUUCGCAUUUGAAAAUUUCUGCACAUUGACCUCUGCUGGCAACGGAGGAACGUGACCGCUAUGUAACCCGGGAAGAAUAUUAAUUUGAAGUAACGUUUGUUUCAUACUUGUUUUGGAAUCAGUUUGUUAACUUUUUCUCAGAUGACAGUAAUCGUCUGGUACGGCACGAAUUGCAAAAGUCUAGCUCGUAGCAGCAAAAAGGUGUAUGUUGCAAAAUUUGCACGGGACAUGAACAGGGGGAACAGGAGAGAACGCAGGUUCAACACGGAAAAAUCAAGUUAAAGAUAACCGUGGAUAUUGUGUUCUUUUCAUUCUUAAUUUUCACAACACAAAAGUUUUCGAGAAAUUGUUUCUCUGUUUCUGAUUUAAGUGGUGAGCUAAGUGAACUUACAGCAUUAGUGAAUAAAGGAAUUUGAAGUCUUCCAUGUAGUGGUUUUUUUACAAUGACUUUGCAAAAUAUACCAGCCAUGGUUUCAAGCUGCAGUUUCGUAGUCAUUUUUUCAAAGGCAUUUUUGACAUCGGCGAAAUAGAUAACAACAAUACAACAUUAAUAUAAAAUGCUAAUUGUCAUAUGUACCGAUAAUUUGGAUAAUAAAAUGCAAGCAUUGAUUGUAUCUAUCCGAAAACCAUAAACGGGUGACAAACGUAACACCUAUCUAUCAUCAUUACCGCUAAACAACGCCAGCACUCGUUUCGAAACUAGCAGUGACGCACGUGAACCGCCCAUUAUGUGGAGCUAAUGGUCUCUUGAUUGUACAACGCGACUAUAGCCCACGAAACUAUUAGCUAUUGUUGAUCGCACUGUAUAAUGUGUGUCCAUUGCAUUGUGCCUGAGCAUGGGUACAAAGCAAAUCCAUACUGUGAUUGUAACCUGCGACUAUACAACAAUGGCUCAACUGCGGUGGACGAUACGGAUCUCGAGUCCGCAGAAAAGUUCAGCGCAAGUGAAAUCGUAUUCAGAUAUGUGGUUCUCUUCACAAAACAGGUUGAACAACCUUCCUUACCGGCCAGAUCCUACAGUUUAGUAGCAAGGCAGCAAACAAAAAUCAAGAUUUCGUUUUCAUGAUCCGCGUUAAGCUGGUUUGCUGCUGUGACGUUAGCGUCGCACCAUGGAUGCGAUCUGUAAUGAUCUGAUCAGUGUCAUGCCUACCUUUGAAUAUUUUUUUGAAGUCAAUAGUAUGAAUGUCCGACGUUCUCCGUCGGCUGCGCAAUUUGCAUACGGAUGAAGUUGUGGUUUGACGUAACUUUGAGUGAAAGUUUGCGUCAUAUUACAGCAUGCGGUUUCGAUUGUAGUACCUAUGUAGGGUACGUGAAUAUUUCAAUUUGUACCUAUAAUAAAUUGCUUGGUAAUCAAUGCUUUUAACAUCAAUGGAAUUGUAGAACUUGAUCGGCGCUGGCAGAACAUUUUAGUUUUGACAGCUUAUUACGAUAUUUUAAAAUAACGGCUCCAGUAAUUUAUAAGCUUUACGUGAUCCGUACGUGAAUUACUGUUUUGACAAAUAUUUCAAAAUACCCGAGUGAUGUUGCGCUCGUGCUCUGAUUGGUAGAAAAGCAUGCGAAUCUUCAAAAUCUCUAUUAAAACUCAAAUUUUUCUUAAGUCAAAAAAUGUUUCGAGAAUAAAAUGAGGAUCAAGGGUGUUAUUUUUUCAACCAACUAAAUUGCAUUUCGAAUAAUAGAGGACAACUCUUAAUGGUACCCAGUACCUGCAAGCAACGAGUCACGAGUUCAUCUUGCCUCCAGAACGUUCCUUGUAGAUGAUAGCCUCGAUGCAAAUGGCAAAAGUAAUCGCGUUUGCAAAUCUAUUUUUAAUACCCCGCGCGGUCCCACGUCAUGAUCCAUAUUCAAAUAAAACGCUAUGCAAAUUGAAACCCUUUCAACCUUUUGCCGAGAGACUCCAUUAGGGCUGUUGAUUCGUAACAAAACGCAUUACAAUCUCAUUCCACUCAGCGGCGGUAUCCGAUAAGUAAAGCAGCAACGCUGUAUCCAACAUCUCGAUACAUUUCCUUUACAUCAGCUUAGCAAUUGUGUAUUGUUUGGUUCCUGAUUGGUCGCAUACAGCAUAUCGAGGCAGGCUCCUCCCAUUUUAGGACGAUGCGAUCUCAGCGCAAGGGAAAACGCAUUGACGUCAAUGAUCCAAUUUGUGGUUCAUUCACCAGGCUUCUUUCAUGGGUUUUAAAUUGUGUGCCUUGCCUUCUUCCCAAAAACAGCUGUUUUAGUAUAAUUAGCUUAAUUUUUCCAAACUCGAAAAAGUGAAUAUAUCUAAACUGGAUCAUGGCGGAAUAAUUCGGCUGAGCACAUGUGAAUGGAAAAGGUUAUGUUGCGGAGUAACGCACCAAGACUACUGGAGUGGUGUAAGUAGACGGUGUAGCGCGACGCACUGUCAUGGUGAUAAUGAGAUUGACAGAUGGCAGGAAAAAGAAAUAAGGAAGAAGACGAGAAAAAGUGGCAGUAAUGUGGAAACGAGUUAGCAGAAGAAUUUACAAGAAUUUAUCUAUAAUUAAUCUAUCAAUGAGAAUCACGAGAAGAGAAAAGUAGCUCAAAGUUUGUAGUGAAAGUAUACAGGAUUGACGAGAGGAAGGAAUUUAUUAGCGCUGUACUACCGAGAAAUCACACAAAUAAUAAGCUCCGAUUUAAUCAAUAUUCGGAGGCAAACGACAACGUGAUUGGCUAACGGCAAGUCCAUUCAGAACGGACCGAGUAGGGUAGUCGCGGUAAAAGUGGGAAUCCUGAAAACCAAAUUAAAACUGGUGCAGGGGUUGUAAAAAUUGUUAAAACUUUAGAGUUUCGGUCGUCAGGAGAAAUAAAGACCAAUCUUUUAGCAGAUCGUUAAGCAAUUUUCGACGGCUCGAAGGAACUUUAUCACAUCCCAACAGGUUAUUUUUUUUAAACACUUGCCCAUGUCCAGGUGUCCGUGUAGACUCCGAAACGACGAAGCGCAUUAGCGACUCGGCAGUUUCGCACGGGUUUGACGUCAAUAGAACUCAAUUUUUAUAAUAAACACAGUCGGCGGAACCGUUGAGAACUUGAGGUUUGCUGACGGGCAGUGAACCAGUCAAGCGAGUCGCAUUAGGUACCUCCAACUGUUGGCGGGCGACUAUUGGAAAAAUAAACUCAAACAACCUUGAACGGGUGUGGCCUCAACAUUUUUAAGCCGGUUAUCCGUUGCUGUACGAUCCCCGUUCUUCUGCCUUCAGGUAACACCUGUUUUCACAGUCUAGCUGAAAGAUUCGAAUUGUUUUGACUGUUGGAACAGAAAUUUCGAAUGACUUAACGGGUGAAACUUGAAUUGUACCCAGCCUUGUGCCACUCGUUGUGCUUUCCGUCCGACACACAAAACUACCUUCCUGUGGUAGCUUAAAAUAAGCCUUGCGUGCUGAGCAGUUACAGUUGCGCAAAGGAAACACGAGCAAAAGUAGGUACAUUGGAAUGGAAACGACUCCGGAUUGACGUCAUUGCUGGCCGUGGUGCGUGUGCAAUAGUAGAAACUAAAGUGGCAAAACUUUGGCGAAAGGGAGCGAUCGUAGUUUGAAAGUAGGUUUAAUUAGUGAAUGGGAAAAUUCAAUGAACUUUUCCAAAUGUGCUGUUGAAUUUUAAUUAGUAUCGCCAAUUUCGAUUCAAUUUUUAAAACUAAACCCCAAUCUAAUGUUAUUGUUACCUAGCCCCAGCAAAACGGACAAAACACGACGCUGUCUUGCUGCAUAAAAUUGGCGGCUUGUGGCUCUCGUACAGUCGAUUUGCGGGGCAUUGUCUCUGCAAGGCCUCGCGGCUUGGAAUUGUUUUCACGGUCUGCAAUGACGUCAAUGCCGGUCGCACUGACGAAUAACCUCGGCUGUGCACUGCGUGCAAAAGAGAACAACAGACUGUUCCAUUGUAAAUGUGUUUUGCCACUCUAAUUCCCACUGCGCUCAAAGUUCAAACGAAAAGAGCUGCUACUUUUGUUGGUAAAACGCAGUUGGCGCUUGUUGGUUUGCACCGUGGUCAUUUUUUUCUUAAUCCAGUAGGUUUUUAAAUAGUAGGUUUUCUAAACUUUGUUGAAAUGGGAAAGCUGCUAGCGAUAUUAUCAUAAAUAAUAAGUUUGUUUUGAAUUUAAAUUGCAGCAUUUGAAAACUUAAAAAACACUUGGACUGGAUAACAAGCUUUUAUUGUUUUGGAAGCCGUUAAGAGUAGAGCGUCCACCGGCCGUGAAUGUAAUACAAAUAAAAUUUGAAUAGUGGUUUUUGCUGUUAUAGAUGUAGAAAGAAAAAACUUUUAAUACAUCUGUUUUCAUUUUUUAUAAGCAAGCUUAUAAUUUCAAGUAUCUCGUUUCAUAUCUACAAAACUCCAGACGAAGGAACCGAGUAGGUUAUAAUCCUAUUUUCAUUUACAGGGUGUCACCGUGAAAGUGAUACUCUUUGUUUAUGCUAUAAAAUUAAAACAGAUGAAUAUUCCUUCUCUGCGCGUAGAGUAGUAGAGUUACAGUUGAAUUAGUUCAAUUCAAAUCUUUCGCCUUUGCAUUUGUUUGCGGCCCACAAACGCUUCUUAAAAUUACCGCAAGUCGCACGCACGACUUCGAUCGGCAUUUCAUCUCAGAUUUUUAUCAAACGAUUCUUAAAAGUGUCCAAAGUCAAAGUGUUUCACUUCAUCCAGCUUUCCUAGCAUGUAUCAUCAAAUGCUGAAAUCCAAUGGAUUCAAAUCGGGCCAUUCAAAGGUGCUGAUAAAACACGGUGAAUUUUUGUUGCACCACCUCUGAACAACCAAUGCCUUAUGCGCUAGUACUGAAUCCUAUUAAAAGCAGAAACUUUCUUUUCCAAAUAAUUCAUGAACUCAAGGCAGCAAAUGGCCUUCAAACACGUGUUGUAGAUAGUAUUCUUUAUUAAUUUCCACAUCCCUGUCGAUGAAUAGCAGAGGCAACUUUCCUCUGUUGGAUAUUGCUCCCCAAACCAUCACAGCUGAAGCAUUCUGGAAUCGUUCCACUCCAUUUUUAUCGGCUGACAUAUCACGAAGACAUGCUCCGUAUACACGGUCAUUCUGUUUGUUCAAAACAGCCUCCAACGUAAACAAUUUUUAGCACCCGAGAUCUAGCAACCCUGUCAGCAAUAUUUCUGCGAGAUAAUCCGUGAACCUUUUCUAUCUCAAAAGCUCCGUAAUUAAGGUCACUUUUGAUUGUUUUAUGCAUAGUAUUAUGGCUCAUAUUCAUUUCACGAGUCAUUUCUCCUGCCGACCGGGCUGAAUUUCGCAGGAUACGUUCUUUAACCGUAUUGAUCUCCACUAUAGUCCGCACACUCCGUUUUUUACCCGGUUCAACUUUAUCACUUACAAGUGAACUAUAAACAUGUGUCGCAAUCAAAACAAAUACAGCUGAUUUACAGGGUAGGCCUCUCGAUGCGAAAAUAGACACUCAAAUGUGUGUUUCACUCUCACGGUGAUACCCUGUAUUUUGGCAUUUAAUUAUUUUUCCUAGAAUUUGAAAGAAAUUCGUUCAGCCACAAGGAGUGCAGUGGCUAGGAGAGGGAAAAAAGCUUUGUGUAUUAGAACUUCAACUUCAAC